rnacentral:rRNA from 1 species
UACGUAGGGUGCGAGCGUUAAUCGGAAUUACUGGGCGUAAAGCGUGCGCAGGCGGUUUUGUAAGCCAGAUGUGAAAUCCCCGGGCUUAACCUGGGAAUGGCAUUUGGGACUGCAAGGCUUGAGUGCGGCAGAGGAGACUGGAAUUCCUGGUGUAGCGGUGAAAUGCGUAGAUAUCAGGAGGAACACCGGCGGCGAAGGCGGCCCUCUGGAUCGUUGCUGACGCUGAGACGCCGAAAGCGUGGGGAGCAAACAGG